rnacentral:rRNA from 1 species
UGAGCAACCUGCCCUUGACUCUGGAAUAACAGCUGGAAACAGCUGCUAAUACCGGAUAUGACCUCCGAUGGCAUCAUCUGGAGGUGGAAAGCUCCGACGGUCAAGGAUGGGCUCGCGGCCUAUCAGCUUGUUGGUGAGGUAACGGCUCACCAAGGCUUCGACGGGUAGCCGGCCUGAGAGGGCGACCGGCCACACUGGGACUGAGACACGGCCCAGAUCCUACGG